UUAGCGCGCCCACGCGGACCCGAUGGUAGGACAGGUCACAGCUGAGCCGAUGAGAUCAUGGAGGCUGCGCUGAGGUCGGACGGGAUACGGCCGACGGGACUGAGCGGUGAUGGAGAGCUGCCUGUCCGAAUCCAUGAUGACCUGCAGUGUAACUGAAAGUCCAAGACAUCUUGCCUAUGUCACUUGGAGCCUCACUGCCAACAGCCUCAUAUUUUCUUCACAAAAGACUAAAUAAGUCUCAAUUCCUGCACAGUCAGCUAUGGACAAGUGAAUAGUGGGCAGUGAAUAAGUGCCCUUUAUUAUUCCCAUUGCUUAUUCCUAUUCCACAAAUGGAUAGCCCAGUUUUCCUGUCUGUGACAAUUUGCUUCCAGAUGUUAUAUUUUGCCAUACAACCAUGCCUUUAAACAUAAGAGCCAAGCCCUCGCACGGCAAGCUGACUGCUGCUGCUGCAAAGAGUGGUGGGCAAAAUGAUGGCAGCUCAUCUCAUUCACGCUUCUCAAGGUCUGCAAAACAGGGAAAAGGUAAGCAGGCUGUCAGCUCAGGUCCUGGGUCCCGAUCAGGACUUGAGCCUGGCUCUGUGUCAGGGGGCGGGCCUCCACCAGCAGCUAAACUGACCGGAGCACAAGGUUCAGUUUCAAAGCUUGGCUCAAGACUCAAAGUCAACACAACCGCUGAUAAAGGAUCAGCUCGUGGUUCAGCAACAGCUCCAGGUGGCAAAACCAUGUCCAUGGAGAACAUCCAGUCUUUAAGUGCGGCCUAUGCCACUUCUGGCACCAUGUAUCCCAAUGAGCGGGAGUCCUUGGAACCCUCUGGUGGAUACCCUAAAAGUACCAUGACAUUAGGGCGGAGUACCAGCCGCUCGUCUUACACUGGCCGCAGUACAGCAAUUGGAAGCACCCCAAACAUCACGACCUCUGGUAUGCAUCACAUAUCAGACUCUUGUGGAGACCAAACUGUGUUUUCUACAGGAACUUCCAGUUUGCGACAGAAGUCUGGAAGAUGCACACAAACACUGGAUUCGGAUGAUCGGGGAGAGGUUUCCACCUGUGAUCUCCAGGCUCAGCUGAGGGAUCUGCAGAGAGAGAAUGAAAGUCUCCGGAGGGAACUGGAUGGAGGAAGGGAUGGAAAGACAGGCUAUGGCACGAAUAGUGUUAAUUUCUGGAGCCCUGAUGUAAAGAGAGACAAGGGGAGUAGGCGUGAAGAGGGAGUAAGGACGCCAGCUCUAAAGGAGCAGUGCAGAGUGAACCAAGAAGAUUUACAGCUGGGGGAUAUAAGAAGAAACAAGCAACUUCCUUUGACAGUUCAGGAGCUACAGGAGGAGCUGAGAGCUCACAGAGAGACAAACAGUCGCCUGCGGCAACAGCGGCAGCAGAGCAGCUCCUACCGAGAACACCAUAUGGACCAGGAGUUCAGAGGGGGGCUCAGUCCUGGCCACAGUCCCAGACAAAGUUCUAUAAACCUGCACAGUCCCGCACCAAAGAACAGCCCCAAAGCCAGUCCAUCGAACACCUACAAUCCAAGGCAACAAGAGGCUGACAUCAUCAUUCACAGUCCUGGCUAUGGGUGUAAUACAUUGGCAGCCACACAGAGACUUAGCCCAGCCAACACCCUUCAGCCUGGGCAAAGGAACAGUCCAAGCCAGCCCCUCUACAGUCCUAGCCAGGGAGCAUUGCCCAGCUCUAGCCCCCGUCAUCCAUGUAGCCCCUGUCAGGUGCCUGGGUGCGACGGCUUUUCUUCACCUCCUCCUCAAGAUCCAACAGAGGAAAACUUCUUCCGACUGCAGUCAGAACAUGAGCGUCAAGCCAAUGAGUUGUCCCUGCUGAGGAAGACUAUGGAAGAGAUGGAGAUGAGAAUCGACUCCCAGAAGCAGACGCUGGGUGCACGAGACGAGAGUAUCCAGAGGUUGCUGGAGAUGCUUCAGGGUCAGGGACAUUGGGGACGAGGACAGCGGACAGGCAUAAUUACCAUGGCAGCCCAGGAAGCUGAUGUCCACUUGGAGAACAUGCAUUUGAGAGAGAACACGAACGCUUCUUUCUGUUUUGAUCCUGAUGUUAUCUGGCAGGACACCAAGAUCUCUUCCCUGGAGAGAAACAUCAGAGACUUGGAGGAUGAGGUCCAGAUGCUAAAAACCACCGGCCUGUUGCACCCUGAUGAAAGGCAGGAUGAACUCAAGCAGGUGGAAGUCUACAAGAGCCACUCUAAAUUUAUGAAAACUAAGGAGCAGACAUUGUCACCAUGUGUGUCUUCCAUCAGACCAGCUCCUACCUUCCUCAUGCCCACUCAACUGCCUUGGAUCACAGAACAAGAAGAAAUAGAGCAGCUGAAGCAGGAGCUGAACAGGAAGGACUCAGAGAUGCAGGCCCUGCAAACCAAACUAGAAACACUGACCAAUCAGAACUCGGACUACAAGCAACACGUCGAGGUGCUAAAAGAGUCGCUCAGUGCCAAGGAGCAGCGCGCCAACACACUGCAGACAGAGGUGGACGCUCUGCGAGUGCGUCUGGAGGAGAAGGAACAGAUUCUGACAAAGAAAACCAAACAACUGCAAGACUUAAGUGAUGAAAAGAGCACACUGGCUGGAGAAAUCAGAGACAUGAAGGACAUGCUGGACGUCAAGGAGAGAAAAGUGAAUAUCCUACAGAAGAAGAUUGAGAACCUGUUGGAGCAGUUAAAAGAUAAGGACAAACAGCUGGUUGGAUUGAGAGAAAAGGUUCAGGGGCUUCAGACUGACUCCAGUAACACAGACACAGCUCUGGCCACUCUGGAAGAAGCUUUAUCAGAAAAGGAGCGAGUGAUUGAGAACCUCCGAGACCAGAAGGAACGAGAAGACAGGGUGAGGCUUGAAGAGAUGGACCAGAUGAGGAGAGAGAACCAGGAGCUGAAGGAAAAAAUGGCUGCUCUGCAACCCUCAAAGCUGCCUCAGAGCCAGGCCACUAACUCCAUCUUAAUCCAGAACCAGAGGCCUCAUGGGGAGGUUGAACCCAAAGUAGAUGGUUUUCCAGCAGUCAACCCCAUGACCCCAAAACCAGAGGAAACUGUCAGAAUCUGUCCAGACAUCGCAGAUCGUCUGAUGCUUCUCGAGCAGGAAGUGUCCCGCUACAGAGAGGAGUCUGGGAAGUCCCAGGCUGAGGUGGAGAGGUUAAAGGGAGCGCUUAAGGAUGCCGAAGUGGACAAAUCGUGCAAGGAGAAGAAAAUUACUGAUCUUGAGAGACCUGGGCAAAUCAAGUCUCCAAAUAUCCAGAAGCAGAUUGUGCCUGGCGAGAUGAGGAAAGAUGCCUUGGUAGAUGGACAUCCACACUCUUUAUCACAGCUUUGCAAUUCCCAGGAUGCCAUGCGUGAGACGGCGGAGCGGAUAAUGGAGCUGGAGAAGGCUCUGAGGGAUACCAUGAACACCUCAGCCCAUAGGGAGGCCCUUUGGGCGCAGGAGGAGGCGGCCCGUGUUCAGGCCCAAAGACAGUUGGAGGAGCUGAUGGGAGCUUUAGAGAAGACUCGCCAGGAGCUAGAUGCCACUAAAGUACGUCUGUCCUCCACUCAGAAGUGCCUACAUGAUCGAGAUGGACACCUCAACCAACUGCGGCAGGAGAGACGCAAACAGCUGGAGGAGAUCCUGGAGAUGAAGCAGCAGGCGUUGCUGGCAGCCAUCAGUGAGAAGGAUGCUAACAUUGCCCUUCUGGAAUUAUCUUCUUCCAAACGCAAGAAAGCCCAGGAGGAGGUGAUGGCUCUGAAAAGGGAGAAGGACAGACUCAUGCACCAGCUCAAACAGCAGACCCAGAGCAGAAUGAAGUUAAUAGCAGACAAUUAUGAGGAAGACUACAUCCACCCCCAACAUCACCCUCAUCAUUUGCACCACAUGCAUACAGCAAAUUUGCAUCACCGAAGUCUGCCAAGAGGGGACCCACACGCCAACCACCGACCUCCGAUGGAUCAGGAUGACGAAGAAGGUAUAUGGGCUUGAUGAGUACUAUCCAUAGGAACCUGCAUCUCUUUGGUGUCUACUUUCUCGGCGCUAACUCAUAUCCCUUAAGGUAAGCCUGGACCUCUGGUUAACCUACUGGUUCAGUAACCUUGAUCAGAUAUCAACUGGGGAUAUGCAUUCAGUCAGUUGUGUAUGUGUGUUUAUAUUAGAACCUUGUAUCCCUUUCUAAUAGAAUAAGCCUGCCACAUUAGCCUUUUAGUGGAGAGUGGUAUUGUGGCUAGCAAUAUCAGUGCUGCUCAUCUAUCCGAUUCUGUUAUUCUGGCAGCACGCAGCACGAGUGCUGCUAGAGUGUAGAGCUAUCCUUUAUAACAGAACAGAUGGGAGCCAUUCGGAGGUAUGUAGCUACAGCACAUAAGGCUGUACCUAAUCCCCAUAUCCUGUCCCUGAGUGAGCCCUCCCUAAUAUGAGCAAACAGAGAUGACAGCACAGAUAGACAAAUAGCUAAGAAUCUAUGAGCCUGAUAGAUUUUACUUCUGUUUCUUAACAGCACCAUUGAGUUCUGCUUCAACAAUGUGAUUUCCUUAUUAACUUUUAAAGUGUGAGUUACAGAUUGUGUAUUCAUGCAUCUCUUUGUGUAGAUCCUCAACUCUUAUUGGCUCAUUUAGAUUGUGUAUGUUCUGUUUUUGAUUACAGAGGUUUUGUUUACCUUCUAGCCUACUGGACUCCCUCACUAAUGAAAUAAGAAUGUCCUUUUAGAGAUGCAGCACAGAAGAAGGGGGGAUGGAGGCCCACCCCUAGGCUGCCAAUCCAAGACAGGCCUGCUGCGGCGAGGUAGAUAUUCAAAGAUGCAUUUGGAAUCACAAGAUUGAUUAGCUUCAGUUCCCAGGACCAGACGAUUUGUCUUCGUUUUCAGACCCCAUUAAUAAAGCACAAAAUUUCAUCAGAUUGGGCUUUUAAAUGCUUAUAAAUAUCUACGCCAUUGAUACAGGUCACAUUCGUGGACAAAUGCAGUGUUUUGCUGGGGACCCAAGCUCCUUGUGGAUGAACCUCAUACCACAGCUAAAUAUUGGCAAGUUUGCUCCUGCCUUCAAUUUCUGGGCUGUUUUCAAUAGACUGGGACCUGGAUUCAUUUUGCAGUGCUGUGGUGCAACAGAGGCCUGACUUCAUAGUAACGAAGAGUCACAACAGUGUUGACGACUGCAAGCAAACUGAGGCCGAGCCAGAUGCGCGAGCCCCAGAUCCAUACCUGUUCAGGUUUAUGUUUGCAGGCUUGUGUUUACUUCUGGAGCUAAAUAUCAGACGUUUGUAAAUAUGACAACAUGGACCUCAAAAUCAACAACCCACUAAGACCUCCUCAAUGUAUGGUGCCAAAGGAAUUGCCGCAGUCCACUGGGAUAAAUAGAAAAAGAUGAAACACCAACUGAUUCAACUCUUAUCCAAGACUUUCAACACUGCCCACUUUACUUAACGGCGAUCUUAGUGUCUUGCAAAAGUAGUCCUGCCCCUUUGGAACGUAAAACACUUCAGUCAUGUUACAACCGAAAACUUAAAUGUAUUUUUUGGGGGAUUUUAUGGACCAAUAAACACUUUUUUUGUUUAGUUUUUUGAGAACCAUUUUCUGCUAUAAUCACAGCUGCAAGGAUUUUGGAGAGCCUUUAUGAUAUUGAAUGUCUAGUCUCGCCACAGUCUCACAAAUGGAUUUAGGUCUGAACUUAUAUAGCAUUCGUUUUCUAGUCCACACAGAACCGUGCAUAUUGGCUUCAAAAUUCUGUUUAAUCUCCCUUGACUAAAGCAAAUGACAUCAUAUUUGCUCUCUGCUCCUUGGUUUGUGGCAAACACACCACUGUCAGUUGGUUCUUAACACAUAAUCCCAAUAAAAACAAACUAAACUGUGUUUGUAACAUGAUGAAAUGUUAAAAAUGUUCAAAGGCUAUAAAUAAUUUUUUUGAGGAAAGGCGUAGUAAAUCUACUGCACAGGCAUUAAAAAAAAAAGUUAGCCUUGAUGUUCCCACAGAGAAAAUGAGAAUCCACUUAUACUCAAUCAAAAAGUCAGAACCUUAGUUUACAGUGAAGAAAAAUGCAGUGUUUUUUCUCCUUAUUAAUGUGUUCUGUUUGGUUUUCUGCAACAGAAGGAUCUGAGUGCCACUCUUAUUCUUUUCUUCUUUUUACAUCUGCUGUGUGUCUUAUACUGAAGAGUGGUGUAUUUAUUGUCUAUUUGAUUUUGUGAAUUUAUGUGACUAACAACACUGAAGUGACUUGCAUUCCAAAUAAUUAUUGAUUUUUUUCACUGUACUAAAAGUUGGUUUGAAGUGACAAUAAUUGCUGUAUUGUUGUGGACUCAGCAGCUUCACAGUGUGUAAAUGACUGAAUAUGUCCAGUGUAUGUGUAGGUGCGUGUGCACGUGUGUGUGUGUGCGUGUGUGUGCGUGUGUGUGUGUGGUUUGGUCCUGCUCACUCAGUUGUAGUGACUGUGAAAGUCUGGGGCUAACAGUAUUCACCCUUGGCUCAUUCCACAAUGUUUGGCAGCUUUCAGUUUGUUCACGUUGUUUGAAUAAAACUUUUAACUUAA